GGGACUCAGUUGGUUCAGAGCGUACGCCUCACACGCGUAAGGUCGCUGGUUCGACCCCAGCAGCGCCCA
rnacentral:tRNA from 4 species